rnacentral:rRNA from 1 species
UACGGAGGGUGCAAGCGUUAAUCGGAAUUACUGGGCGUAAAGGGUGCGUAGGUGGUUUAAUAAGUUAUCUGUGAAAUCCCCGGGCUCAACCUGGGCAGGUCAGAUAAGACUGUUAGACUGGAGUAUGGCAGAGGGUAGUGGAAUUUCCGGUGUAGCGGUGAAAUGCGUAGAGAUCGGAAGGAACACCAGUGGCGAAGGCGGCUACCUGGGCUGAUACUGACACUGAGGCACGAAAGCGUGGGGAGCAAACAGG